UACGGGGGGGGCAAGCGUUGUUCGGAAUUACUGGGCGUAAAGGGCUCGUAGGUGGCCAACUAAGUCGGACGUGAAAUCCCUCGGCUUAACCGGGGAACUGCAUUUGUGACUGCAUGGCUAGAGUUUGGCAGAGGGGGGUAGAAUUCCACGUGUAGCAGUGAAAUGCGUAGAUAUGUGGAGGAACACCGAUGGCGAAGGCAGCCCCCUGGGUCAAGACCGACGCUCAUGCACGAAAGCGUGGGGAGCAAACAGG
rnacentral:rRNA from 1 species